AUUGAACGCUGGCGGCAUGCCUUACACAUGCAAGUCGAACGGCAGCACGGGAGCUUGCUCCUGGUGGCGAGUGGCGAACGGGUGAGUAAUACAUCGGAACGUACCCUGAAGUGGGGGAUAACGUAGCGAAAGUUACGCUAAUACCGCAUAUUCUGUGAGCAGGAAAGAGGGGGAGUCGCAAGACCUCUUGCUUUAGGAGCGGCCGAUGUCGGAUUAGCUAGUUGGUGAGGUAAAGGCUCACCAAGGCGACGAUCCGUAGCGGGUCUGAGAGGAUGACUCCGCCACACGUGGGACUGAGACACGGCCCAGACUCCUACGGGAGGCAGCAGUGGGGAAUUUUGGACAAUGGCGCAAGCCUGAUCCAGCCAUGCCGCGUGAGUGAAGAAGGCC
rnacentral:rRNA from 1 species